rnacentral:rRNA from 1 species
GAUGAACGCUGGCGGCGUGCCUAAUACAUGCAAGUCGAGCGAACAUACGAGUUGCUUGCUCCUCUGACGUUAGCGGUGGACGGGUGAGUAACACGUGGAUUACCUACCUAUACGACUGGGAUAACUUCGUGAAACCGGAGCUAAUACCGGAUAACAUGUUGAACCGCAUGGCUCAACAGUGGAAGACGGUCUUGCUGUCACUUAUAGAUGGAUCCGCGCCGCAUUAGCUAGUUUGUAAGGUAACGGCUUACCAAGGCAACGAUGCGUAGCCGAACGGAGAGGGUGAUCGGCCACACUGGAUCUGAGACACGCUCCAGACUCCUACGGGAGGCAGCAGUAGGGAAUCUACCGCAAUGGGAGAAAGCCUGACGGGGCAACGCCGCGUGAGUUAAGAACGUCUUGGGAUCCGAAAACUCUGUUAUUAUUGAAGAACAAAUGUGUAACUGACCAUGCACAUCUUAACCGUACCUAAUCAGAAAGCCACGGCUAGCUACAUG